rnacentral:rRNA from 1 species
UACGGGGGGGGCAAGCGUUGUUCGGAAUUACUGGGCGUAAAGGGCGCGUAGGCGGCCUUCUAAGUCGAACGUGAAAUCCCCGGGCUCAACCCGGGAACUGCGUCCGAUACUGGAAGGCUUGAAUCCGGGAGAGGGAUGCGGAAUUCCAGGUGUAGCGGUGAAAUGCGCAGAUAUCAGGAGGAACACCGGUGGCGAAGGCGGUUCUCUGGGCCGAUACUGACGCUGAGGAGCGAAAGCGUGGGGAGCGAACAGG